CAAGGGCAGGGGCGCUUUAAGGAAGUGGGGAUGAGGGUGCUAAGGGGAUAACCUUCUUCUUUCUUAGGGGAGUAAAGCUACCCUCUCAAAAGACGACAGGCACAGGAAGGGGUUAACGUGGAGAACGAGGAGGAGCUAGACGCAGGAGGAGAAAGGACCGUAUAAAAACCCGAACAAGGACGGAACGAGGAGAAGCGAAGUCCACGAGUUAAACGAGCCGAAGUCGGACAGCGUAAUUAGACAAGGUAGGAGAUCACUUUUGGAGGGCUCGUGGGCAACGCCGAGGACUUCCGUCGCAGGGCCGUGCCGUGGACUUUAAGAUGUCGGCGAGUGAGCGGUCAGGCUGCUGCUAAUUUCUGCCAGUUUCGGCAGUGGCGGAGCGACGUAGGGUUUAUGGUCCAGAAGGGAGCGAGCGAUAUCAGUUCGGAGGCGUCGGAAGCGGAAUUCUAGUGAUCCGCGUUGUAUUCUUUCUUGUGUACUGUUUAGAGUAAAUUAAUAAAGUCCAAUUGUCUUGUUAAGUUGCGCGGGUUUAAAUUUGGCUUUCCCUCCUUUGUGCGCAGACAUUUUUAGGAUAUUUGCUCAAGGAAUUUCUGAAUUUGCUGCAGCUGGUGGUCGUAGAACCCACCGCGAGAAGAAAGGCUUUGUGCGUAUAGGUAUUGUCGGCCUGAGCUUAGGGAAUUUUGAGUAAUUUUUUCGAAUUCUAUUUAUUUCUUUCUUUCUCGCAACAUUCUGGUGUCAGGUGUGGGGUAAGGCCAGCGUAGCAGAUCAACAUUCUGGUGUCAGGUGUUAACAAAGGCCAGCAGAUCAACAUUCUAAAAUGCCAGUAGUAGCAGAUGAAAACCCGCAGCUGAGGGAUGCGGCUGAUAACGUGCAGCAGCCGCAACCCCCACUUCAAUUUCAAUCAGGGUAUCAUCCCCCCAUGUUUCAUCCUAAUGCAGCGUGGGGAGGAUUUCCAGAGUACGGGCCUUAUCCACCCCUUCCAGGCCCGUAUUCAGUCUUUAGUUGGCCCAGAGCGCCGUGGAGGGGAAACCAGCAGCAGGUACAGGCAGCAGCAGCCGAGCCAACUCAGCAGCAGGCGCUUCGAUUCGAGGCGCCCAAUUAUAGGCAGCAAAGGUCGAGCGUUCAAACCGAGGACUUAACUUCAGCUGUGUCCUCUAGACCUCCCACGACGUUAAAAAGUCAGUCGCGGUUACCUGAGAGAAGAGACGCGAGUGAGACGGCGUGCCCUUUGUGCUAUGAAGUUGGUCAUUCGUUGAAUAACUGUCCCGUGCUAGUUUGUUCAAAAUGCUUUAACAAAGGCCAUCCCCCUUUUGACUGCCCUGAGAGCGACGCAAAAAACGGGAAAUGGGGGGAGUAAAAACAAAUUCCCUCCCCCCUGUCAUAAAAAAUAAAGCUGACAUUAAUUUUUGUGAAAAAACAACCAGUCGUGAAUUAAUUUCAGAAGAUAUUUUGCAGGCCGCAGUGCACAGAGUGACACCUACAUCGGGUUUUGCUGUCGUUGGUCGAGUCGUAGAGAAAGAUGUCCCAUUUCUGGUGAGUUCAGGUGCAAUGGUUAGUUUGAUGUCGCUCGCGUUAGCUAAAAAAUUGCGCGCCAUCAUCGUGCCUUUCCUACAAGACGUCAGAUCUGCGAAUGGCGCGCCAAUGAAGGUUGUUGGCCAGGUUGAGUUAUUUGUCGAUUGGGGGAAAAUGGGUUGUAGUCAUGCAUUUGUUGUCGUCGAGGGUUCAGGAGUCACCUUUGAAGGUUUAAUCGGCUGUGAUUUUUUGAUCAAGCACCAGGUGAAUCUAAUUUCUUCUAGACAGGUGCUUCAAUUCCCAUGGGGAGAAAUUCCCUUUGGCCUCAAUCAACAAACGAAGAGAGACGCAUUCCAGGAAAAUGCCAACGACCUGGGGAGGAGUGAGGUAAAUUUUGUCACAAUCGCAGCUUUGAAUAAAUUCGAUUCCUAUGAGGAAAAGACAUUUCCGGAGCAGAUUCAGCCUCAAAGGUCAUUUCAAGAGAACAAAGUGCCGCCUGAUUCAAAAAUGUGGGUUCUCGUCCAAACAGGAAGUCAGCCAGUGGCAAUAAUUCAAGUCCAAGAUGGAAAAUCGAGUGAUGGUCCGCCACCUCCCACAACAAUUCGCUCAGUAGAUGAGACAGAAAGUAUUCGAGUCUGGCUGGCCAAGUCUUCGAGAACGGCGUUGAAGGUCCCAAAAUAUGAGGAAAAUUUUAAAUCGUUCAAAUUGCUUCAGGUCCCAGCAGAAUGGAUAGAAAGCCUCAGGCAAAAAUUGUUGAUUGUUCUGGAAAGGACGGGCCGAGUUACCUUCAACUUGCUGCGGAAUUUUUGGGAUUAUGCUCGCCAUCAAAAGAACGUCAGCGAGCCACGGGAGCAGUGCGCAGGUGGUCCACAAUGGUCCCACUGCAGAUAAAGAGUACCCAGCAAAGAGAGUCUACUUAUUAUUUUGAGGCGAAAAUUGAUGCGAAAAAUUUUAAUUUGUUGUGUAAAGUGAUUUUAUUCGUCAUUUGGUUGUCCCCGUGAAGUGUUUUAAUAUGUUAAGUUUAGGAUUUAAUUUCGAGAAGAGAUCUGGUGAGUCAGCGGAAUCGAAAACAGCUAAAAGUCUAGAAGGAGGCACGGUGAUUACUGUGGUUAGUGCAAUCGCAUGAGUCUUGAUAUACCGGUUUCUAAGCAAAAGUACCGGUCAUUUCAUCCAACUAGCAUUAUCAUUAUGGCAAAGGUGUCAAAAUUGUUUUCUUCUGAUACCGGUUUUGAAUGAUAAUGAUAACCGGCGGUAAGGUUGGUUCAGGCUCAUAAAAUAAUAAUUAUUGUAGCCGCAUUGAUAUCUUGUUGUUGUUCGUAACUACGAUAGCCGACCAGGAAGAAAUCUUUCCGAACUUAAACAUCUUAAUCUAAUUCAAAUUGUGUGUGACGAAGACUUGUCAUGAAGGCAGGCAGGAGUAAAAAAAAAUAUGUCGAUCGUCGAGACAUGGAAGUUUCCUGAUUUCUAAAGUUGUUUAAAUUUCUAUAUGUCGCCGGGAAAAACUUAAUUGACCAUACAUGUACUGAGACGCUUUGUGAUAAAUUUCUAAAUGACAGAUAAAAUAAUCAUUGAGACAAUAUGUUUGUAGGAAAGAAGCAACCCAGCACUCUAUUAAAGUCAAGUGAAGGGCCCACCCCAAAUUUAACUGGCACCAUAAGCUAAUCAGGAUCGACUACCACCAAGGAUGCCAGUCUAGAUGAGAUGUGCGCCCUGCCCUUGGGGGAGGAUUAUGGUGUGAUGCAAGGGCAGGGGCGCUUUAAGGAAGUGGGGAUGAGGGUGCUAAGGGGAUAACCUUCUUCUUUCUUAGGGGAGUAAAGCUACCCUCUCAAAAGACGACAGGCACAGGAAGGGGUUAACGUGGAGAACGAGGAGGAGCUAGACGCAGGAGGAGAAAGGACCGUAUAAAAACCCGAACAAGGACGGAACGAGGAGAAGCGAAGUCCACGAGUUAAACGAGCCGAAGUCGGACAGCGUAAUUAGACAAGGUAGGAGAUCACUUUUGGAGGGCUCGUGGGCAACGCCGAGGACUUCCGUCGCAGGGCCGUGCCGUGGACUUUAAGAUGUCGGCGAGUGAGCGGUCAGGCUGCUGCUAAUUUCUGCCAGUUUCGGCAGUGGCGGAGCGACGUAGGGUUUAUGGUCCAGAAGGGAGCGAGCGAUAUCAGUUCGGAGGCGUCGGAAGCGGAAUUCUAGUGAUCCGCGUUGUAUUCUUUCUUGUGUACUGUUUAGAGUAAAUUAAUAAAGUCCAAUUGUCUUGUUAA